CAGUCACUGGUUCUAAAAAUCAUUAAUCUUUUCUUUAUUCAGUAUUUGGUUUAAUCGAUUUAUUCCCUUUCCUAUCCCAAUCACCGAAAGCGAUGAUGAUGUUCCUUCGGUAGUGAGAAAUUCUUCCAUAAACAUAUAUUGAUACAUGUGCAUUAAUUGUGCACAAGCAAUUUUCAUGUGAUAUAUUUUUUGUUAGAUUACAGUGAGAAAAAUGUGUCAAUGUGUAAUGUAUGUUGUAUGGCAUAAGGUGUAUUAUCUUAAUUAUUAUCUUAAUUAAAAUAUUACAUUUCUAUUAUACAAUGUUUUUAAAAAUAUCAUUUAAUCAAAUAAAACAUUUUAAAUUUAUUUUUAUGAUAGAAAUUUGAGUAUUCGGUGUACGUGUAUUUGCAUUAAAGACGAUGGGAAUCAGAAACAAGUUGCAAUGAUGUUUUCGUAUUAUUAUUUAUUUAAAGAAAUGGUUUACAAUGCCGGAGAGACACUCAACGCGCACGUACGAUCCACCGAUUACACCUCGGUGCAGAUUCUUGAAUUGUUCAUGUUGGAAACUUAACAGUAACUCAAUGGCACACGAAGGUGAUCGAGUGACAACAAUGAAAACGCAAUAUUAUCCGAAACGAAGAUAAAUAUUUCAAAUGGGACGCUUAACAGUAAGAAUUGUCUUAGCGUUAAUUUUAACAUGUGGCUGUUAUAUAUAAUGAGCAUCAGCAGUAAAGUGGAUAUCGUAGUAUUCUAAUAAAAAAAAAGGACCUGUUUCUUCGUGAAGUUUUUUUGUAUUGUCAUCGGCACGUUGACUUCUUAUUUAGCAACACGUUGGCUAUGGGAUCAGCCAACUGAUUCGUUAACGGUUCCGUAACGAGUCUAAUCAUUAUUAGCACACUGGAGUCUCUUAAACGAUUUAUUUCGCUUAACAAAUAAAUAUUCUUAGUCUUAAACAUUAAACUUCUUAUGUGUAGUCUUUUUAAAUAAUUACUAGCUAAUGCGUCUCGAAUGCAACGUUACGUAUUAAAACGAACGAAGAACGCGAACGCUCUUUCCCUGGUUACUUGCAGCAGGGCAAUCUAUUCUGCUGUUCGUCAAAUUGUGUUGAAUUAAUCAGAAUCACUUUGAAAAAACUUUCAAAUCCAUCGAUCAUCGAGAGAGAGAGAGAGAGAGAGAGAGAGAGAGAGAGAGAGAGAGAGAGAGAGAGAGAGAGAGAGAGAGAGAGAGGGAGAGAGAAGAGAUAAAGAAAAAAAUUUUGAAAUGAAAUCUGAAAUGUAAAUUAACGGAGUUCGAUGGCGAGCGUUUUUUCAAAGUUCGAGCACUUUUCCUGUCAAUAGUGACUUUCGACAAUAAAUAAUACAAAGAAUGACAAUAAAUGUAGCCAGAGUGCUCGUGAAAAGGCUUACACACACAAUACGGUUUCGCGUACCUAUUAACGCGGCUACUAACUAUGCUAAAUGCGAAAUCAUUUGAGCGUAGACUUGCCGUUGAGCAUAUAAAUAAGAAAGGGUGAAUGACAUUGAGUGAUAGAUGUUAUUUAAUGAGAUGUGCUUCUUAAGCGUGCCAUAUCGACGAGGAUAAAAGAACAUUACGCUUGAAUGUUCGAAAUAUAGUUUAGUGAGCACAAAAAACGUAUUUCAUAUAGACUUUAACGAAUAAAAAAAAAAAAAAGGAUUUAAUCGUGUGGAUGAAAUAAUUAUUAUUGAUGGAACAAUAUUGCCGGAUGUGUUAUUUAACACGUUUCUUUUAAUGCGUAUUUUAACAUGUGUUUUGCAAGAGAAACGGACAGCAUUAUUAAUCGCUCAUUAAUUGUCAGGCUUCGGUUAGUCCCGAAAUAUAACGAUCUAAUAAAUCUUUGCGAAGAUUUAGCAAGAAAUUACGAGGAAAAUAAUAACAGAUGCGAUAAAACGAUAAAUUAGGAGAAUCUAAUGCUAAUCGAUGCAAAUGCGUUGUGUACGGUAACAGUAUGCUAGGUAACAAGCAAGGAAUGCUAUUCUUGUUCACGAACGUAACAAUGGAUUCCUCGCAAGAAACAAGAAAAGAAAAUGCGAAUAUAAAAAGUCGUGUUUUAACAGAAGUUGCAGAUAAG